rnacentral:rRNA from 1 species
CCUACGGGAGGCAGCAGUGGGGGAUAUUGCACAAUGGGGGGAACCCUGAUGCAGCGACGCCGCGUGGGUGAAGGAGUGCUUCGGCAUGUAAAGCCCUAUCGGCAGGGAAGAAGCAAGACGGUACCUGACUAAGAAGCCCCGGCUAACUACGUGCCAGCAGCCGCGGUAAUACGUAGGGGGCGAGCGUUAUCCGGAUUCACGGGGUGUAAAGGGAGCGUAGACGGCGAUGCAAGCCAGGGGUGAAAGCCCGGGGCCCAACCCCGAGACUGCCCUUGGAACUGGGCGGCUAGAGUGCGGGAGGGGCAGGCGGAAUUCCUGGUGUAGCGGUGAAAUGCGUAGAUAUCAGGAGGAACACCGGCGGCGAAGGCGGCCUGCUGGACCGCGACUGACGUUGAGGCUCGAAAGCGUGGGGAGCGAACAGGAUUAGAUACCCGAGUAGUC